rnacentral:rRNA from 1 species
UGAGGAAUAUUGGACAAUGGGCGCAAGCCUGAACCAGCCAUGCCGCGUGAAGGAUGACGGCCCUCUGGGUUGUAAACUUCUUUUAUCUGGGACGAAAAAAGAUCAUUCCUGAUCACUUGACGGUACCAGAGGAAUAAGCACCGGCUAACUCCGUGCCAGCAGCCGCGGUAAUACGGAGGGUGCAAGCGUUAUCCGGAUUUACUGGGUUUAAAGGGUGCGUAGGCGGCUCCCUCAGUCAGCGGUGAAAUGUAUCGGCUCAACCGAUAACCUGCCGUUGAUACUGGGGAGCUUGAGUUGGGUUGAGGCAGGCGGAAUGUGCGGUGUAGCGGUGAAAUGCUUAGAUAUGACAUAGAACACCAAUUGCGAAGGCAGCUGGCUACGCAUAUAUUGACACUGAGGCACGAAGGCGUGGGGAUCAAACA